GAUGAAGAACGUAGCGAAACGCGAUAAGUAGUGUGAAUUGCAGAAUUCAGUGAAUCAUCGAAUCUUUGAACGCACAUUGCGCCCCUUGGUAUUCCAUGGGGCAUGCCUGUUCGAGCGUCAUUUGUACCUUCAAGCUUUGCUUGGUGUUGGGUGUUUGUCCAUUCUCUUGCAGAGGGACUCGCCUUAAAGUAAUUGGCAGCCAGUGUUUUGGUUUUGAAGCGCAGCACAAGUCGCGAUUCAAAGCUAUACGCCCGCUACCACAAGCCUUUUUCACUUUUGACCUCGGAUCAGGUAGGGAUACCCGCUGAACUUAAGCAUAUCAAUAAGCGGAGG
rnacentral:misc_RNA from 1 species